rnacentral:piRNA from 1 species
UGUACACAUUCACGGACUUCAAAGACUA